AUGGCUCAGAUUGAACGCUGGCGGCAGGCCUAACACAUGCAAGUCGGGCGGUAGCACAGAGGAGCUUGCUCCUUGGGUGACGAGCGGCGGACGGGUGAGUAAAGUCUGGGGAUCUGCCUGAUGGAGGGGGAUAACUACUGGAAACGGUAGCUAAUACCGCAUGACGUCUUCGGACCAAAGUGGGGGACCUUCGGGCCUCACGCCAUGAGAUGAACCCAGAUGGGAUUAGCUGGUAGGUGAGGUAACGGCUCACCUAGGCGACGAUCCCUAGCUGGUCUGAGAGGAUGACCAGCCACACUGGAACUGAGACACGGUCCAGACUCCUACGGGAGGCAGCAGUGGGGAAUAUUGCACAAUGGGGGGAAACCCUGAUGCAGCCAUGCCGCGUGUGUGAAGAAGGCCUUCGGGUUGUAAAGCACUUUCAGCGGGGAGGAAGGCGAUAAACUUAAUAAGUUUGUUGAUUGACGUUACCCGCAGAAGAAGCACCGGCUAACUCCGUGCCAGCAGCCGCGGUAAUACGGAGGGUGCAAGCGUUAAUCGGAAUGACUGGGCGUAAAGCGCACGCAGGCGGUGUGUUAAGUUGGAUGUGAAAUCCCCGGGCUCAACCCGGGAACAGCAUUCAAAACUGACAGGCUAGAGUCUCGUAGAGGGGGGUAGAAUUCCAGGUGUAGCGGUGAAAUGCGUAGAGAUCUGGAGGAAUACCGGUGGCGAAGGCGGCCCCCUGGACGAAGACUGACGCUCAGGUGCGAAAGCGUGGGGAGCAAACAGGAUUAGAUACCCUGGUAGUCCACGCCGUAAACGAUGUCGACUUGGAGGCUGUGGUCUUGAACCGUGGCUUCCGGAGCUAACGCGUUAAGUCGACCGCCUGGGGAGUACGGCCGCAAGGUUAAAACUCAAAUGAAUUGACGGGGGCCCGCACAAGCGGUGGAGCAUGUGGUUUAAUUCGAUGCAACGCGAAGAACCUUACCUACUCUUGACAUCCAGAGAAGACUGUAGAGAUACGGUUGUGCCUUCGGGAGCUCUGAGACAGGUGCUGCAUGGCUGUCGUCAGCUCGUGUUGUGAAAUGUUGGGUUAAGUCCCGCAACGAGCGCAACCCUUAUCCUUUGUUGCCAGCACGUAAUGGUGGGAACUCAAAGGAGACUGCCGGUGAUAAACCGGAGGAAGGUGGGGAUGACGUCAAGUCAUCAUGGCCCUUACGAGUAGGGCUACACACGUGCUACAAUGGCGCAUACAAAGAGAAGCGAGCCUGCGAGGGUGAGCGGACCUCAUAAAGUGCGUCGUAGUCCGGAUUGGAGUCUGCAACUCGACUCCAUGAAGUCGGAAUCGCUAGUAAUCGUAGAUCAGAAUGCUACGGUGAAUACGUUCCCGGGCCUUGUACACACCGCCCGUCACACCAUGGGAGUGGGUUGCAAAAGAAGUAGGUAGCUUAACCUUAGGGGGGGCGCUUACCACUUUGUGAUUCAUGACUGGGGUGAAGUCGUAACAAGGUAACCGUAGGGGAACCUGCGGUUGGAUCACCU
rnacentral:rRNA from 1 species